CCUACGGGUGGCUGCAGUGAGGAAUAUUGGUCAAUGGACGCGAGUCUGAACCAGCCAAGUAGCGUGAAGGAUGACUGCCCUAUGGGUUGUAAACUUCUUUUAUAAAGGAAUAAAACGAGGCACGUGUGCCUUUUUGUAUGUACUUUAUGAAUAAGGAUCGGCUAACUCCGUGCCAGCAGCCGCGGUAAUACGGAGGAUCCGAGCGUUAUCCGGAUUUAUUGGGUUUAAGGGGAGCGUAGAUGGGUUGUUAAGUCAGUUGUGAAAGUUUGCGGCUCAACCGUAAAAUUGCAAUUGAUACUGGCAGUCUUGAGUACAGUUGAGGGAGGCGGAAUUCGUGGUGUAGCGGUGAAAUGCUUAGAUAUCACGAAGAACCCCGAUUGCGAAGGCAGCUUACUAAACUGUGACUGACAUUGAUGCUCGAAAGUGUGGGUAUCAAACAGGAUUAGAUACCCGAGUAGUC
rnacentral:rRNA from 1 species